rnacentral:tRNA from 1 species
GCCGGAGUGGCGGAACUGGCAGACGCGCACGACUCAAAAUCGUGUUCCUUCGGGAGUGUGGGUUCGAUUCCCACCUCCGGCA